GCAGAAAAUAGCAGAGCUUGUAAAACAGUACAGUUUGAGAAUGUUUACAGUUUAAUGCUAAAUAUGUGAUGUCCUUGUCAACCUUUACAAUAAAUUUGCAGUUUACUGAAUAAACCAACAAUGAUUUAAUACAACCAAGGAGGUACAUUCACUAAACAGUACAUUUAAAAUUCAGUUUGCAGAAUUAAAAGGAACACUCUAUACACCAUAACCACUGCAGCACUCUGAUGUAAGACGUCAAAACCGUUUGCUAAUCUUUUACCAGCUUAGUUGAGAUGGGCAUUUAGAGCAAUGCACAGAGUUUUCAUUAGUUCUACUGAGCUAAACCCUGACCUUUGCAGGGUCAGCUCAUUAGCAGAGAACAUCAACUGAUCACUCACAGCUAGUGAUGUCCCGCACGGUUU